rnacentral:rRNA from 1 species
UUAGAAGCAGCUAUUCAUUCAAAGAGUGCGUAAUAGCUCACUAGUAGAGUCACCCUGCGCCGAAAAUGUACCGGGGCUAAAACAAUUUACCGAAGCUGUGGAUAACACAUUAUGUGUGAUGGUAGGAGAGCGUUCUAUGUGUGAAGAAGGUAUACCGUGAGGAGUGCUGGAACGCAUAGAAGUGAGAAUGCCGGUAUGAGUAGCGAAAGAUGGGUGAGAAUCCCAUCCACCGUAAGACUAAGGUUUCCAGGGGAAGGCUCGUCCGCCCUGGGUUAGUCGGGACCUAAGGAGAGACCGAAGGGUGUAUCCGAUGGACAACAGGUUGAUAUUCCUGUACUAGAGUAUGAAGUGAUGGAGGGACGCAGUAGGCUAACUAAAGCGGGCGAUUGGAAGAGCCCGUCUAAGCAG